GCGAACGGGUGAGUAACGCGUGAGGAACCUGCCUCAAAGAGGGGGACAACAGUUGGAAACGACUGCUAAUACCGCAUAAGCCCACAGGUCGGCAUCAACCAGAGGGAAAAGGAGCAAUCCGCUUUGAGAUGGCCACGCGUCCGAUUAGCUAGUUGGUGAGGUAACGGCCCACCAAGGCAACGAUCGGUAGCCGGACUGAGAGGUUGAACGGCCACAUUGGGACUGAGACACGGCCCAGACUCCUACGGGAGGCAGCAGUGGGGAAUAUUGCACAAUGGGGGAAACCCUGAUGCAGCGACGCCGCGUGGAGGAAGAAGGUCUUCGGAUUGUAAACUCCUGUUGUUGAGGAAGACAAUGACGGUACUCAACAAGGAAGUGACGGCUAACUACGUGCCAGCAGCCGCGGUAAAACGUAGGUCACAAGCGUUGUCCGGAAUUACUGGGUGUAAAGGGAGCGCAGGCGGGAAGACAAGUUGGAAGUGAAAUCUAUGGGCUCAACCCAUAAACUGCUUUCAAAACUGUUUUUCUUGAGUAGUGCAGAGGUAGGCGGAAUUCCCGGUGUAGCGGUGGAAUGCGUAGAUAUCGGGAGGAACACCAGUGCGAAGGCGGCCUACUGGGCACCAACUGACGCUGAGGCUCGAAACUGUGGGUAGCAAACAGGAUUAGAUACCCUGGUAGUCCACACCGUAAACGAUGAUUACUAGGUGUUGGAGGAUUGACCCCUUCAGUGCCGCAGUUAACACAAUAAGUAUCCACCUGGGGAGUACGACCGCAAGGUUGAAACUCAAAGGAAUUGACGGGGGCCCGCACAAGCAGUGGAGUAUGUGGUUUAAUUCGACGCAACGCGAAGAACCUUACCAAGUCUUGACAUCCUGCGACGCACAUAGAAAUAUGUGUUUCCUUCGGGACGCAGAGACAAGUGGUGCAUGGUUGUCGUCAGCUCGUGUCGUGAGAUGUUGGGUUAAGUCCCGCAACGAGCGCAACCCUUACUGUCAGUUACUACGCAAGAGGACUCUGGCAGGACUGCCGUUGACAAAACGGAGGAAGGUGGGGAUGACGUCAAAUCAUCAUGCCCUUUAUGACUUGGGCUACACACGUACUACAAUGGCGUUAAACGAAGAGAAGCAAGACCGCGAGGUGGAGCAAAACUCAGAAACAACGUCCCAGUUCGGACUGCAGCCUGCAACUCGCCUGCACGAAGUCGGAAUUGCUAGUAAUCGUGGAUCAGCAUGCCACGGUGAAUACGUUCCCGGGCCUUGUACACACCGCCCGUCACACCAUGAGAGCCGGGGGGACCCGAAGUCGGUAGUCUAACCGCAAG
rnacentral:rRNA from 1 species